AAGGCCUUCGGGUCGUAAAGCCCUGUCGGAGGGGAAGAAAAGUCUGUUGGCUAAUAUCCAGCGGACCUUUGACGGUACCCUCAAAGGAAGCACCGGCUAACUCCGUGC
rnacentral:rRNA from 1 species